UACGAUAGUGCGGAUACG
rnacentral:piRNA from 1 species